CUUCCAUCCUCCAUAGUGUACGUUGAAAUUGGCCAGCCUUGUGGAAUGUGUUGCACAAGAGGCUCCCUGAGGAGACCGAUGCUGAUGCAGACUACACACUUGGAGGAAGGAGUGGAUGGAGGAGGGGCCAAAACCAGUGCCCGGCCGACCUGGUGGGGCGACUGCCGCAGUUCCAGUGAGAGAAAAUGGUCGCCUGGACUAGGGCAGCGGUAGUGAGAAGAGAAAGAGAGCAGACCUCCACAGAGCAAAAGGCAUCUGAUGCUGUGACACCUGAAUUGCUGGUUAUCAAAUCUCUCCCAUUAUCUUCCCAAGGAACACAAUGUGUUGCAGCUGGAAAGAGACAAUCUGACUUGAAGCCAAAUCACACUGGCUUUCAAGUUGCUAGAAUCGGUUCCUCAGAAGGUGAAUUUGGUGAAGCUAUGGUCCUGUGCCUCCCCCCGCCCCAU